UGGGGAAUAUUGGACAAUGGGCGGAAGCCUGAUCCAGCAACGCCGCGUGAGGGAUGACGGCCUUCGGGUUGUAAACCUCUUUCAGCACAGACGAAGCGCAAGUGACGGUAUGUGCAGAAGAAGGACCGGCCAACUACGUGCCAGCAGCCGCGGUAAUACGUAGGGUCCGAGCGUUGUCCGGAAUUAUUGGGCGUAAAGGGCUCGUAGGCGGUUUGUCGCGUCGGGAGUGAAAACACCGGGCUUAACUCGGUGCUUGCUUUCGAUACGGGCAGACUAGAGGUAUUCAGGGGAGAACGGAAUUCCUGGUGUAGCGGUGAAAUGCGCAGAUAUCAGGAGGAACACCGGUGGCGAAGGCGGUUCUCUGGGAAUAUCCUGACGCUGAGGAGCGAAAGUGUGGGGAGCGAACA
rnacentral:rRNA from 1 species